CUGUCGAGUUGCCCCAUAAAGAGCAUAACGAAAAAAAAGCUAAAUCUCAAGUUCGUAUUUCUUUGCGAAUUCAUGCACAGUGUACUGAACAACAUCAAUUAUGCAUCAAAAAUUUUACAAAAGUACGAUAUCAAUUUGGGCGAGGCGAGUAAAUUUUUAGCAGAGACCAAAGAAAAGUUGCGAAUUUAAAGAUAUGAUUUCGAUUUACUUAAGUGCAAAGCCAGUGAAACUGCAAGAAAACAUGGUAUUGAUACCCACUUCCAAGAACAAAGGCAAAGAAAAGUUAAAAAAACAUUUUGAUGAAUUAGCUGCUAAUCACCGAUAUCCAAUCAGAGAAAAAAUAUUUAAAAUUGGGAUUUUCAGAAAUGUACUUGACACAGUAAUAUCUCAAUUAGCUACAUGUUUUAUUUGUAAGAGUGCAGUCUGUUAUUUAUUGGAUUUUCUAACACCAACAUUAUUACAUAUUGAUGAAGCGACUUUAUAACAAAAGUGUGACGCAUUCCUAGUUUUACCUCAAUAACUCAAGCAUGGACUGUUCACCAUUUAUCAAUGUUUUUAUUCUUGAAAUUUCCUGUCACUUCUGCAGCAGCUGAAAGGUCAUUAGCAAAUUAAAAUUGUUCAAAAUUGAACAUGUUCGCUGCUACCAAAGGACGGAUAACAACAUUAUAUUUAACCUUUUAUAUAUUUCACAAAUGUUAAAUAAGAUUAGGAAUAAUUCUUACUAUUGUAAUACUUUAUACAGUCCACUUAAAUUAGAUAAUGCAGAGGCAAUACGAAACAUACUUAAAUAUACAUGCAUUUAUAUGCAAAACACAUACAUAUGUAUAUGAGCCACGUAUGCAUUUAUAUGCAAUACCCAUGCACUUAAGAAAUAUAAUAGGGUAAUCAUAAUCCGGUGCAAAUGGUCUUGCAAAUGCAAGUUUCGGUGCAAGUGCAAAAUAUUUUUGCACCAUGUUCUCAAACAAAAACAAAUUACAUGUGUUUUGCAGAUGCAACACUGUUAUGCAAAUGCUACACUCAACCUCUAUUGUAUAUGUGCAAAUUAGUAUUGUAUUUCAAACAGCUGAUUUCUUUUGCAUACAUAAAUGCUUAUUUAUUUACUUUUAUUAGGCUCGAACAGGCUUGCAAUUCUGACAGCUAAGCAAUUCUGUUUUGGAUUCCACAACACCCCUGAUAAACAUAUUUGCUUAGGUUUGGGCAAUUGAUUACAAUUGCACUUGUGCACUUGAAAACAGCCCAAACCAUGCAACAUAAAUUAUAUGACAACAUACACACACAUGUAUUGUAUUGUAUAGUUGAAAGCAACCCCAUGUGGUGUGCCGUGCAUAUACAUAGGUUUACAAUUUACAAAUAAAAUUGGAAUGAAAUAUUUCUCAGUUUGAAUAA